UACGUAUGGGGCAAGCGUUAUCCGGAUUUACUGGGUGUAAAGGGAGCGUAGGCGGCAGGGCAAGCCUGAUGUGAAAGCCCGGGGCUCAACCCCGGGACUGCAUUGGGAACUGCCCUGCUGGAGUGCCGGAGGGGCAGGCGGAAUUCCUAGUGUAGCGGUGAAAUGCGUAGAUAUUAGGAGGAACACCAGUGGCGAAGGCGGCUUUCUGGACUGUAACUGACACUGAGGUACGAAAGCGUGGGGAGCAAACAGG
rnacentral:rRNA from 1 species